AGUCUGGUGCCAGCAGCCGCCG
rnacentral:rRNA from 1 species